rnacentral:rRNA from 1 species
AUUGAACGCUGGCGGCAGGCCUAACACAUGCAAGUCGAGCGGAUGAAGGGAGCUUGCUCCUGGAUUCAGCGGCGGACGGGUGAGUAAUGCCUAGGAAUCUGCCUGGUAGUGGGGGAUAACGUCCGGAAACGGGCGCUAAUACCGCAUACGUCCUGAGGGAGAAAGUGGGGGAUCUUCGGACGUCACGCUAUAAGAUGAGCCUAGGUCGGAUUAGCUAGUUGGUGGGGUAAAGGCCUACCAAGGCGACGAUCCGUAACUGGUCUGAGAGGAUGAUCAGUCACACUGGAACUGAGACACGGUCCAGAGUCCUACGGGAGGCAGCAGUGGGGAAUAUUGGACAAUGGGCGAAAGCCUGAUCCAGCCAUGCCGCGUGUGUGAAGAAGGUCUUCGGAUUGUAAAGCACUUUAAGUUGGGAGGAAGGGCAGUAAGUUAAUACCUUGCUGUUUUGACGUUACCAACAGAAUAAGCACCGGCUAACUUCGUG